rnacentral:rRNA from 1 species
UACAGAGGUCUCAAGCGUUGUUCGGAAUUACUGGGCGUAAAGGGCGCGUAGGCGGCCUUCUAAGUCGAACGUGAAAUCCCCGGGCUCAACCCGGGAACUGCGUCCGAUACUGGCAGGCUUGAAUUCGGGAGAGGGAUGCGGAAUUCCAGGUGUAGCGGUGAAAUGCGUAGAUAUCUGGAGGAACACCGGUGGCGAAGGCGGCAUCCUGGACCGAGAUUGACGCUGAGGCGCGAAAGCCAGGGGAGCAAACGGG